CUGCCAUAGCGUCGCCAAAGUCCACGCCAAGAUGAAAGGCAGAGCCUGCAUCACAAUGCACCCAACCUUUGUGGCUGAAAUUUUAGGUGGUACAGAAAUGCGGCGUAUUGCCACUUUGCAAGGUUGAUAUGGCACAGGUGUGGCAGACACAACAGAGAGCCUCUUCCAAGCUGCAUAGUGCUGAAAAUUAGGAAAACAUUUCCGUCGGAGCAGUGCGCAGACUUUCGAUGUAUAGACUGUUAAGAUGAGAGGCCAAAAAAAAAGUCAUUCUUUAAAACAGAAGUAAGGAUGGAAAUAACUUUUUUCCCUGAAUGAGCACGUCUUAUUUAACAUAUCCAACUGUUUAAACUGCAAGAAUAGCUCAUUUAGUUUUCUUGCAGGUAAUUUUUUUGGUAAAAUGGGGGGGUAUUAGAAGUGCUAGUUUCACCAGCAAUGGUAACUAACUAAUGAAUUGCUGAAUUGAGUAAAGCUGUUGGCAUUUAUGUAGCUAAGUGUGUGGCCUAUGCAAUGAACUAGAAUAAAUGUAAUGUGAUGAACA